rnacentral:rRNA from 1 species
UACGAAGGGAGCUAGCGUUGUUCGGAAUCACUGGGCGUAAAGCGCACGUAGGCGGAUGUGUCAGUCAGGGGUGAAAUCCCGGGGCUCAACCUCGGAACUGCCUUUGAUACAGCACGUCUUGAGUCCGAUAGAGGUGGGUGGAAUUCCUAGUGUAGAGGUGAAAUGCGUAGAUAUCGGGAGGAACACCUGUGGCGAAAGCGGCUCACUGGACCACAACUGACGUUGAGGCGCGAGAGCGUGGGGAGCAAACGGG